rnacentral:rRNA from 17 species
GUACAAAGGGCUGCGAAACCGUAAGGUGGAGCGAAUCCCAAAAAGCCGGUCUCAGUUCGGAUUGAGGUCUGCAACUCGACCUCAUGAAGUCGGAGUCGCUAGUAAUCGCAGAUCAGCAACGCUGCGGUGAAUACGUUCCCGGGGCUUGUACACACCGCCCGUCAAGUCAUGAAAGUUGGUAACACCCGAAGCCGGUGGCCUAACCGUUGUGGGGGAGCCGUCGAAGGUGGGACUGGUGAUUAGGACUAAGUCGUAACAAGGUAGCCGUACCGGUAGGUGCGGCUGGAUCAC